UUUGGGGGGGGUUCGAGGGGAUUAUGGUGGAUUUGAGGGGUUCUAGGGGUGGUAGACCAUCUCCAUGGGGUUUUUGAGGGUCUCUAGGGGUGGUGGGACGUGGUUAUGGGGGAUUUGGGGGGGAUCGGGGGGAUUAUGGGUUUUUUGAGGGUCUCUAGGGGUGGUAGAACAUCUCCAUAGGGUUUUUGGGGGGCUCUAGGGGUGGUGGGACGUGGUUAUGGGAUUUUUGAGGCGGUUUGAGGGGAUUAUGGGGUUUUUGAGGGUCUCUAGGGGUGGUAGACCAUCUUUAGGGUUUUUUUUGGGUUUUUUUUUGGGGUGUUGAGCCUGACCUGGCGGAUGUUCUGCCCCACGUACUCGAUGACCAUCUCGUCGGCGGCGAUGGGCUCCAUGGCGAAGAGGCCCCACUCGUGGAUGCGGCUGCGCCCGAACCGCAACCGCUUCUUCCGGAACUUUGGGGGGGGACACGAGGGUCACCGGGGGGGGGACAAACCCACCCCAGGUCCCCACGAAGACCCUCGUGGUGGAGCAGGACCUCAACGGUGUUGGGGACGCCCAAACGAAGAGCGUCGGCGACCCAACGUGGCAACGCAACGCGGCGUCAACCCAAGGUGUCACCAACCCAACCCAACGUGUCACCAACCCAACGUGUCACCAACCCAACGUGUCAUCAACCCAACGCGUCACCAACCCAACGCGUCACCAACCCAACGUGUCACCAACCCAACGUGUCAUCAACCCAACGUGUCAUCAACCCAACGCGUCAUCAUCCCAACGUGUCAUCAUCCCAACGUGUCGUCAACCCAACCCGUUGGCAUCCCAACACGUCAUCAACCCAACGCGCCGCCCACCCAACCCAACGCGUUGUCAACCCAACGCGUCACCCACCCAACACACGUGAAGACACGGUGCCAACCCAAUGCGUCGUCAACCCAACGCGUCACCAACCCAACACGCGUGAAGACGCGUUGUCAACCCAACGCAUCAACCCAACGCAUCGCCAACCCAACGCGUCGCCCACCCAACACGCGUGAAGACACGGGGCCAACCCAACGCGUCGCCAUCCC
rnacentral:lncRNA from 1 species